GACGUAGGGCGCGAGCGUUGUCCGGAUUUAUUGGGCGUAAAGAGCUCGUAGGCGGCUUGUUGCGUCGACUGUGAAAACCCGCGGCUUAACCGCGGGCCUGCAGUUGAUACGGGCAGGCUAGAGUUCGGUAGGGGAGACUGGAAUUCCUGGUGUAGCGGUGAAAUGCGCAGAUAUCAGGAGGAACACCGGAGGCGAAGGCGGCUCACUGGGGCUUUUCUGACGCUGAGGAACGAAAGCCAGGGGAGCGAACGGG
rnacentral:rRNA from 1 species